AAUUCCCCUCUGCUCCCUCCCAGCGCUCCCGCCAACACCUUGACGGUGGCGUGGAAAUCCCUCCGGGCGUUCCGAGCCCAGAGCGUCUUCCCUGUCCCCCCCUGCUCCGCCAACCUUUCCUCUUCGGCUUUGGUUGGCUUCACCCUUCCUCCGGUAGCUCUCUCUGCUCUGGCCACAGACUUCCUUUAGGUCAGCCCGGCUCUGGCCGCGACACAACUUCCAGUCCAGUCACACGGUUGUGCCGCCGAGGAUGCCCCGGAGGAGGGAGAUGCCCGCCCGAACCUGAGGCACCGCUCAGUCUGGCAAUUCGAGUCUCCAGGAAUACCAGAGAAGCCUUUCCAGGAAUGCCAGAGAAGCCUGUCCAGAUGAGAGGAGGCAGGAGAUGGAGUUACAAGGAUGAGGAAUGAGGAAUACCACACAGUCCAUGUUGGCCCAGAGCUGGCAUACAGCAUGGCAUACACCUGUUUCCUACAGGGAAUAAAGUGCAUCCGUUCAAAUACACUUUGA